CAAUCGCCUAUCCUCUCUUCCUCUCAUAUCCUCUUCGCCUUGUGUUCUGAGCUUACAAAAGCCCUUUGUUUCUAUUCCCUGUACUUACGAGUGCAUGUUCGUACUGGGAAGCUGUGUUAACCUUGGGGAGCAAACGACAUAACGAUUAGCACCUCGGCCAGCCGAAAUUGCUUUCAGGGCAGUGGUUCGUCACGACACAACAAUAAAUCUGAUCGACCUUACCUUCUAACAAAGGAUAGACCCAAGUGUGAAUACCACGAGCUCUCCUGUCCACAAAAAAAGAAUUCUCAAAGAACAGUAACAUAAAUUUCUUCAGCAACUCAAUUUGAAAUCAAAAGACAGACAGAUCCAUAAUGCUUCGAAAUUUACAAACCUCCACCAUAUCUUCUCCUCCUCCUCCUCCAAAAUUCUUGAGAAAUUGCUUCCCAAUUUCAUACUACACCAACAGCCAAUGGCUUUUUCACCCUUCAAAUCCCCAGUUCUUCUUCAUUGCGCUUCCCAUUCUCCUUCUUCGGCAAAGCUAAGAGAUAAUUACCAUGCGCCGCUGCGGCAAGAACUCACGGAUCGUUUUUGCCCUAAUGACAGGGCUUCUGCUUCUGCUUCUGCUUGCGAUCGCGAUGGCGAGGCCGAUUAAUAGACCGCCAAUUCCGCCGUCUGGCCGGAACCCCUGCUCUCAUUUUUCGCUGCCCGGUGAUGGAAGGCAUUGCCGUUGAUGGAUGAAGGGAUCGGAGCUCAGGGGAGAUUGUGUGCAUGUUCUUAAUUUCUUGAGGUUCUUUGUUUUUUUACCAACGACCUCUUUUGGCGUAGCCAUUAGCAAAACUAUAAAAUACAACUUUUGCUUACGUCAAAUUUCGUUGUAAAAUACUAAAAUUAUUGUUCAUCUUCAUCAUGCUAUGAAUGAUGUUUCAUGUUUGUAACGGAUCAGCAAUAAUAAACUCGAAAAAAGCUCUUCCUUUUUA